rnacentral:rRNA from 1 species
UGACGUACUUGUACUGAUUGAGAUUUUAACACGAAGUGAGUGGCGAACGGGUGAGUAACACGUGGGUAACCUGCCCAGAAGUAGGGGAUAACACCUGGAAACAGAUGCUAAUACCGUAUAACAGAGAAAACCGCAUGGUUUUCUUUUAAAAGAUGGCUCUGCUAUCACUUCUGGAUGGACCCGCGGCGUAUUAGCUAGUUGGUGAGGUAAAGGCUCACCAAGGCAGUGAUACGUAGCCGACCUGAGAGGGUAAUCGGCCACAUUGGGACUGAGACACGGCCCAGACUCCUACGGGAGGCAGCAGUAGGGAAUCUUCCACAAUGGACGCAAGUCUGAUGGAGCAACGCCGCGUGAGUGAAGAAGGGUUUCGGCUCGUAAAGCUCUGUUGUUAAAGAAGAACGUGGGUAAGAGUAACUGUUUACCCAGUGACGGUAUUUAACCAGAAAGCCACGGCUAACUACGUGCCAGCAGCCGCGGUAAUACGUAGGUGGCAAGCGUUAUCCGGAUUUAUUGGGCGUAAAGCGAGCGCAGGCGGU